CAUGCAGUCGACGAUGAAGCCCUUCGGGGUGGAUUAGUGGCGAACGGGUGAGUAACACGUGGGCAAUCUGCCCUUCACUCUGGGACAAGCCCUGGAAACGGGGUCUAAUACCGGAUACCACCUCUCCUCGCAUGGGGGGAGGUUGAAAGCUCCGGCGGUGAAGGAUGAGCCCGCGGCCUAUCAGCUUGUUGGUGAGGUAGUGGCUCACCAAGGCGACGACGGGUAGCCGGCCUGAGAGGGCGACCGGCCACACUGGGACUGAGACACGGCCCAGACUCCUACGGGAGGCAGCAGUGGGGAAUAUUGCACAAUGGGCGAAAGCCUGAUGCAGCGACGCCGCGUGAGGGAUGACGGCCUUCGGGUUGUAAACCUCUUUCAGCAGGGAAGAAGCGAAAGUGACGGUACCUGCAGAAGAAGCGCCGGCUAACUACGUGCCAGCAGCCGCGGUAAUACGUAGGGCGCAAGCGUUGUCCGGAAUUAUUGGGCGUAAAGAGCUCGUAGGCGGCUUGUCACGUCGGUUNGUGAAAGCCCGGGGCUUAACCCCGGGUCUGCAGUCGAUACGGGCAGGCUAGAGUGUGGUAGGGGAGAUCGGAAUUCCUGGUGUAGCGGUGAAAUGCGCAGAUAUCAGGAGGAACACCGGUGGCGAAGGCGGAUCUCUGGGCCAUUACUGACGCUGAGGAGCGAAAGCGUGGGGAGCGAACAGGAUUAGAUACCCUGGUAGUCCACGCCGUAAACGGUGGGAACUAGGUGUUGGCGACAUUCCACGUCGUCGGUGCCGCAGCUAACGCAUUAAGUUCCCCGCCNUGGGGANGUACGGCCNGCAAGGNCUAAAACUCAAAGGNAAUUGACGGGGGCCCGCACAAGCAGCGGAGCAUGUGGCUUAAUUNCGACGCAACGCGAARAACCUUACCNAAGGCUUGACAUWMACCNGGAAAGCAUUARAGAWAGUGCCCCCCUUNGUGGUCGGUGUACANGGUGGKKCAUGGCNUGUCNGUCAGCUYGUGUCGUGAGAUGUUGGGUUAAGUCCCGCAACGAGCGCAACCCUUGUUCUGUGUUGCCAGCAUGCCCUUCGGGGUGAUGGGGACUCACAGGAGACCGCCGGGGUCAACUCGGAGGAAGGUGGGGACGACGUCAAGUCAUCAUGCCCCUUAUGUCUUGGGCUGCACACGUGCUACAAUGGCCGAUACAAUGAGCUGCGAUACCGCAAGGUGGAGCGAAUCUCAAAAAGUCGGUCUCAGUUCGGAUUGGGGUCUGCAACUCGACCCCAUGAAGUUGGAGUUGCUAGUAAUCGCAGAUCAGCAUUGCUGCGGUGAAUACGUUCCCGGGCCUUGUACACACCGCCCGUCACGUCACGAAAGUCGGUAACACCCGAAGCCGGUGGCCCAACCCCUGUGGA
rnacentral:rRNA from 1 species